rnacentral:rRNA from 1 species
AGUGAACGCUGGCGGCAUGCCUAACACAUGCAAGUCGAACGAAAGCACAGUAAGAUCUUGCCCCUACGGGUGGCGAGUGGCGGACGGGUAACGAGUACAUCGGAAUCCACUUUUUCUUGGGUGAUAACGGGGGACAACUGCUGAUAAUAGCUCAUAUAUCCUACCGGAUGGAUCAAUAGUGCUAGGAGCUUUUCGCGUCAGUAAAAGCUGAUGUCGGAUUAGCUAGUUGGCUGGGUAAGGGCCCACCAAGGCGACGAUGCGUAGCUGGUCUGACAGGAUGAUCAGCCACACUGGAACUGAGACACGGUCCAGACUCCUACGGGAGGCAGCAGUGGGGAAUCUUGCGCAAUGGGCGAAAGCCUGAUCCAGCCAUACCGCGUGAGUGAAGAAGGACUUCGGGUUGUAAAGCCCUUUUGUUGGGAAAGAAAAAAAGCAGGUUUAUCCACGGCUGUUCUGACGGUACCCAAAGAAUAAGCACCGGCUAACUUCGUG